CCGUCGGCUUCAUCGAGCCUUGCCGCUGUCGUAUUCAUCGAGUUCCGCUGUCGUCAUCUUCAUCAAGCUUUAGUGUGUUGUUUCUGGUUUCUUAAUGGAUUGCUAUGUGAUCAAGCAUGUGAUAGAGAAUAUCCAGAGCCACUUUUUCAUGACUAUCAUGUUAAACUAUCAGAUUUUCAAUCAUACACACGUUUGAAUUGAUGAUGAGUUUCAGUCUUUCAAUCACACAAACACACAUUUAGACGACACUUCUUAUUUGUUUAGUAUUAUCUAAUCAUAUAUAGAUUCCUCAAAAGUUUGGAUAUUUAAUUGAUGUGUUCGUUAAUCUAAUCAAAUGUGUAUAUUUUUUUUGAUUUUCUAGUUAAUUUUUGCAUGUUGGAUAAGUUUGAGCUAGUUUUGUCUGCAAGAUUCAUGAUUUUGAAUGAAAGUUUAUACAUUUUUCUGAUUUAUGUUGAUCUAUGAUGCUUUUGAUUUGAUUAGUAUAUGUUCUAGCUUGGUCUGUCAAGGUUUGAUUCUCUAGACAGUUGAUUUGAUUUAGAGUAUAAUCAAUAGAUCACUUUUUAUUGUGUGAUUUUAUAUUGUUCGUCUGUUAUGAAACUAAUUUGAUUUGUUAAUACAGUGUGUUUUUAGAUUCAAGAAGCAAGGGAAAAAGAGAGUGGUGUUGGUGUUAGUUCCUAGGAGAACUACAAUAAAACAUGAAUUAUUGAGAAAGAUGCUCUCAGAUUCUUAUAAAUCUGGGUUUUAUGAUAUUGUGCUAAUACACUAAAAUAAUUUAUAAGCUUUUAUAAAGUAGUAUUUGAAUAACAUAUAUAUAAAGGUUUAUAAAACAUAAAAGAAUAUCUUCACUUAGACAAUUUAUAAGGGGUUAUAAAGGUAAAAUAAAUCAGUUAGAAGAACUCUAAAUCAUUUAAAAAGUUUAUAACCACUUAGAAAGUCUAAUAAAAGAAUUUAUAAGGGUUUGUAGCAUAUUUUAUAAGGGGUUUUAAGGAUAUAUAAAUAAUUUAUAAGGGUUUAUAAAACAUUCAUAAAGUUUAUAAAAACAAUUUAUAAAUACUAUACACCAUUUAUAAAUAAUUUAUAAGGGUUUAUAAAAAAAUCAUAAAUUUUAUAAAAACAAUUUAUAAAGCUUAUACACCAAUUUAUGAGGGGUUUUUAAGGGUUUUUAAAUGGUUUAUGAAUCAGUUUAUAACACUUUUAAAACUAAAAUUAGUUUAUAAAUAAUAAUAAUUCAACUUAAAACCCCGAAAAUUACCUUAUAAACCCUAAAUCUGUUUAUAAAAUAAUAAAUCAGUUUAUAAACUCUUAUAAAUCAAUUUAUAAAAUGUUAUAAAUGUAUAUAAACUAGUAUUUCCUUUGUAAAAAUUUAAAAGGUAUUGUGUAUCAUUCAUAAACUCUUAUAAAAAUGUACCCAUCAAUAAGAGUUUAUAAUUAUUUAUAAGUCUUUAUAAAUUGGUUAAAAAUAAAUAAUACUUUUAUUUAUAUACGUAAUAGUAAGAGUUUAUAACAAUUUUUACAACGAAUUUAUAAGAGUUUAUAAAUCAUAGAGAGUUAAAAAUCAUUUUAUAAAGUUUCAUAGAUCAAUUUAAGAGUAUGAAAAUCAGUUAUAAAUAUUUAUAAAAGCUUAAAUAUAAAUACAUGAUAUAUGAUGUAACCAAUUAUUGCACCAUGAAGGAUUGAUUACAACAUGAUCACUUAAAAAAUCUAACAAGUCCUUUAAUAUGGCGUUGAAUAUUCCAUUCUCCUAUUCUAUGAUCAUCAUAUGAUUAUCAGGUAAUCAACACAUGAAUACAUUUUUAUAUUAAAAAUAAUCUCUAGAUAUAACGAAAUUAAUAUUUUUAC